rnacentral:rRNA from 1 species
AGUGGGUAGUCCGCACGAGCGCACCUUGUCCUUAGUUGCCAGCAAUUCGGUUGGGCACUCUAGGGAGACUGCCGGUGAUAAACCGGAGGAAGGCGGGGAUGACGUCAAGUCCUCAUGGCCCUUACGGGCUGGGCUACACACGUGCUACAAUGGCGUCUACAAUGGGUCGCAAUAGGGCAACCUAAAGCUAAUCUCAAAAAGACGUCUCAGUUCGGAUUGUACUCUGCAACUCGAGUACAUGAAGUUGGAAUCGCUAGUAAUCGCGGAUCAGAACGCCGCGGUGAAUACGUUCCCGGGCCUUGUACACACCGCCCGUCACACCAUGGGAGUUGGUUUUACCCGAAGGCGAUGUGCUAACUUCGGAGGCAGUCGACCACGGUAAGGUCAGCGACUGGGGUGAAGUCGUAACAAGGUAGCCGUAGGGGAACCUGUGGCUGGAUCACCUCCUUUCU